rnacentral:lncRNA from 1 species
GGGGUUAAAAUGGAAAUAUGCUAUAAAUAAACACUUGACAAAAAUUAGUCAGUGUUUGGUCUGGGCGUGCGAACGAGAGAAGGAACCAAGGGAACCAAAACCCUAAACAACCUAAAAUCAUCAAAUUGAAAGGGGAAUCGAGGGCUGAUCGAAUGCAUGAGUCUAGAUACCCUUUAAUCUAAGUGUAUUGAUCAUAAGGAACGUGUCAAGGAGAGCUCAAGCAUAGGAGGAUAACGGGUCAAGAUAAGGCAAGGUGACAAAUACACUUAUUGGAAUACUCAAGGUGAUGAAUGUCGGACUUUCGAAGUGUUGAUAUAAUAAUGAAACGGUUGAAUGUUGAAAGGAUAAUCGGACUGAAGUAACUUAUGCGGUAAAUCCUCAAUUUUGGCGACUUGGAGAAUCGGAGCGAGCGCGUGUUCGUGUUAUGCGAUACCAAACGCUUCCGCUAGUUUGUUCAAGUGUUUUUGACCCAAAAUUUGUUGUAUUGGUUUUUAGUAGUAUCUUGUUGAACGAAUUGUAGAAUUGUAUCUAGUUUGUUUAUGUUUAAAACAGGGGUAUGCUCGUUUUAUGGACGGGUCAUGCCCGAUUUUUUGUUAAAUUAUAGUUUGAUAAUAUCAC